rnacentral:rRNA from 1 species
CAGGUAGGACUACCCGCUGAACUUAAGCAACAAA